CCGCGAAACCCCGCCAGGCCCAUCGGUCUGGCGGCGGUCGGCCGGGCGUGGUGGCCCGACCCUGAUGAGCAGCCGGAG
rnacentral:hammerhead_ribozyme from 2 species